rnacentral:rRNA from 1 species
CGGACGGGUGAGUAAUGUCUGGGAAACUGCCUGGUGGAGGGGGAUAACUACUGGAAACGGUAGCUAAUACCGCAUAACGUCGCAAGACCAAAGAGGGGGACCUUCGGGCCUCUUGCCAUCGGAUGUGCCCAGAUGGGAUUAGCUAGUAGGUGGGGUAAUGGCUCACCUAGGCGACGAUCCCUAGCUGGUCUGAGAGGAUGACCAGCCACACUGGAACUGAGACACGGUCCAG